rnacentral:rRNA from 1 species
CCUACGGGUGGCAGCAGUGAGGAAUAUUGGUCAAUGGACGAGAGUCUGAACCAGCCAAGUAGCGUGAAGGAUGACUGCCCUAUGGGUUGUAAACUUCUUUUAUAUGGGAAUAAAAUGUUCCACGUGUGGGAUUUUGUAUGUACCAUAUGAAUAAGGAUCGGCUAACUCCGUGCCAGCAGCCGCGGUAAUACGGAGGAUCCGAGCGUUAUCCGGAUUUAUUGGGUUUAAAGGGAGCGUAGGUGGAUUGUUAAGUCAGUUGUGAAAGUUUGCGGCUGAACCGUAAAAUUGCAGUUGAAACUGGCAGUCUUGAGUACAGUAGAGGUGGGCGGAAUUCGUGGUGUAGCGGUGAAAUGCGUAGAUAUCACGAAGAACGCCGAUUGCGAAGGCAGUUCACUGGACUGCAACUGACACUGAGGCGCGAAAGUGUGGGUAUCAAACAGGAUUAGAUACCCCAGUAGUC